UUGCUUUUCGGCUCCUUAGUCAGACUUGCAAUGGUGCUUCACAUUAUAGGCUGAAAAGGAGCUUGGUCGAGACAUUACAUACAGAAGGUAUGAAUCCGAUAGAGAAGCAGAGGCUGCAAGACUUGGUAUUUGUCCAUUGUAAUUUGCAAUUACAAGCUUUUGAUCCAGAUGGAAGCAAUGACAAUACAGACUAUGUUGUUGACCCCAUGGAUGAGUGGAUAGUCAGAAAAGAGCCCAAUUUGGUGCAUGAAAACACUCAACUUACAUGGAUGGACUUGGAACUUGCAAGCAGAAAUGGA
rnacentral:misc_RNA from 1 species